UAACAUGAAUGACUCAGAUUCUGAAGGAAGAAAAGGAAUGGCAAACUAUGUUCCAGGAGAAGUAGAAUUACUGCAUCACAGGGCACUUCAUUUUUAGAUUAUGUAUCAUGGCGGCAGACCUUCAAUACCAAGGUGCAUCUUCUCCAGCAAGUUCUUCAGCAUCCUUUCCAGAAGCAUUCGGCAGCCGAGAAAGCAGGCUACACCUUACCUACUCCUUCCUGGGCUAAAGAUCUCAGACUUAGUUGCUUAUCUUAAUUUGGGGAAAAUAAAUUAAGGAGUUCUUCUAUCAUUGAGCACAACAUAAUAUAAUCUAUUUAAU
rnacentral:sRNA from 1 species